CAGUCGCCGCGGAAAUACGUAGGGUGCGAGCGUUAAUCGGAAUUACUGGGCGUAAAGCGUGCGCAGGCGGUUCGUUAAGACAGAUGUGAAAUCCCCGGGCUUAACCUGGGAACUGCAUUUGUGACUGACGGGCUAGAGUAUGGCAGAGGGGGGUAGAAUUCCACGUGUAGCAGUGAAAUGCGUAGAGAUGUGGAGGAAUACCGAUGGCGAAGGCAGCCCCCUGGGCCAAUACUGACGCUCAUGCACGAAAGCGUGGGGAGCAAACAGGAUUAGAUACCCCAGUAGUCCCUGUCUCUUAUAC
rnacentral:rRNA from 1 species